UGGGAAUAUUGCACAAUGGGCGCAAGCCUGAUGCAGCCAUGCCGCGUGUGUGAAGAAGGCCUUCGGGUUGUAAAGCACUUUCAGCGAGGAGGAAGGUGGUGAGCUUAAUACGCUCAUCAAUUGACGUUACUCGCAGAAGAAGCACCGGCUAACUCCGUGCCAGCAGCCGCGGUAAUACGGAGGGUGCAAGCGUUAAUCGGAAUUACUGGGCGUAAAGCGCACGCAGGCGGUUUGUUAAGUCAGAUGUGAAAAUCCCCGGGCUCAACCUGGGAACUGCAUUUGAAACUGGCAAGCUAGAGUCUCGUAGAGGGGGUAGAAUUCCAGGUGUAGCGGUGAAAUGCGUAGAGAUCUGGAGGAAUACCGGUGGCGAAGGCGGCCCCCUGGANGAAGACUGACGCUCAGGUGCGAAAGCGUGGGGA
rnacentral:rRNA from 1 species